ensembl:lncRNA
AGAGGAAGUCUUAUCUUCACUCACUAAAUACACAAGGGCUGGGAUUUCCACUUGGCAAAUGCUGCUGUUUACCUGAAGGCUGCUUCUCUCUGAACUCAGCGUCUCUGGCUGUGGUGAAAAAGGAAAUUCUCUUAGAGGACAAGCACUGGUCACUUCUGAGGACUUCUGGAAAAUGUGCUUCAGCUUCUGAGCAGCUGUGGUGUGGAUGUCUGGUGGGG